CCUACGGGUGGCAGCAGUGGGGAAUAUUGGACAAUGGGGGCAACCCUGAUCCAGCCAUGCCGCGUGUGUGAAGAAGGCCCUCGGGUUGUAAAGCACUUUCAGUGAGGAAGAACGCCUGGUGGUUAAUACCCAUCAGGAAAGACAUCACUCACAGAAGAAGCACCGGCUAACUCCGUGCCAGCAGCCGCGGUAAUACGGAGGGUGCGAGCGUUAAUCGGAAUUACUGGGCGUAAAGCGCGCGUAGGUGGCUUGAUAAGCCGGGUGUGAAAGCCCCGGGCUCAACCUGGGAACGGCAUCCGGAACUGUCAAGCUAGAGUGCAGGAGAGGAAGGUAGAAUUCCCGGUGUAGCGGUGAAAUGCGUAGAGAUCGGGAGGAAUACCAGUGGCGAAGGCGGCCUUCUGGACUGACACUGACACUGAGGUGCGAAAGCGUGGGUAGCAAACAGGAUUAGAUACCCCUGUAGUC
rnacentral:rRNA from 1 species